rnacentral:rRNA from 1 species
UACGAAGGGGGCUAGCGUUGCUCGGAAUUACUGGGCGUAAAGCGCACGUAGGCGGAUUGUUAAGUCGGGGGUGAAAUCCCGGAGCUCAACUCCGGAACUGCCUUCGAUACUGACGAUCUUGAGUCCGGGAGAGGUGAGUGGAACUGCGAGUGUAGAGGUGAAAUUCGUAGAUAUUCGCAAGAACACCAGUGGCGAAGGCGGCUCACUGGCCCGGUACUGACGCUGAGGCACGAAAGCGUGGGGAGCAAACAGG